rnacentral:rRNA from 1 species
GUAGUCCACGCCGUAAACGAUGAGUACUAGGUGUUGUGGGUAUUGACCCCCGCAGUGCCGAAGCUAACGCAUUAAGUACUCCGCCUGGGAAGUACGGUCGCAAGAUUAAAACUCAAAGGAAUUGACGGGGGCCCGCACAAGCGGUGGAGCAUGUGGUUUAAUUCGAUGCAACGCGAAAAACCUUACCUGGGCUUAACAUCCCCGGACCGCUGUAGAAAUACAGUUUCCUCUUCGGAGGCCGGGUGAUAGGUGCUGCAUGGCUGUCGUCAGCUCGUAUCGUGAGAUGUCGGGUUAAGUCCCUUAACGAGCGCAACCCUUAUCCUUAGUUGCUACCAUUCAGUUGGGCACUCUAAGGAGACUGCCGGUGUUAAACCGGA